rnacentral:lncRNA from 1 species
GAAAGAAUCAAGAGCGACCAAGAAGUGUCCCACAAGUGUCUCCACUGAUUUAGACAGCAUAACAAAACUAAACUGAGAGAGUUGACAGGGAGGCAAACCAGGGAAGCAAGGGGAUUUUACAUCCAGGGCACGGCAGCCGAAUAAACAUCUGAAGAUUGAAUCCUGGGCAAGAAAUCUUAGAUGAAUGAUAGCCACUGGCAUUGUACUCAAGUGACAUUUUCUGGAGGCUGAUUCCAGGAUGCAUUUUUGAAACCCGGUUGGCAAGUUUCCCUGACUAUGGCUUUGGCUGAUCCUCCCCUACAAGCAUAGCUUGAUGUUACUGCACGCUACUUUGGUCUCUGCUGAUGAGGGAAGAGAAACCCGGGGAUCUUCAUUUAUUUAAAAGCUUAACUUAGAGGAUAAGAUCAGUGAACCAGUGCUGCUGCUGUUGAAGGAGAAGAAGAGAAAGAAAGAUUUGAAAAUGGAAUUCAAUAAUAAUAUAGAACCAUUGAAGAGGACUCAAGAGUAAAUGAAGAUGGGAUUGAAAACAUAAUAGAACAACUACAGAACUCAAUGGGAAGGCUUACAAAUAAAAUGAAUCAAGUAGAAGAUGUGAAUGUGUGAUUGUGUGUGUGUAAAGUAUUUGUUUAAACUGUACAAUGUGUGUAAAAUAUUUGUUUACUUUGUUCUGACUUCUGGUAUACUCUGUGUUACAACCAAACUGUAGUCCAUUAAAAAUUUAGUUGGCCAUGUUA